GACUGUCGGGGUUCGGCUGCGCUCCGGGGCAGUCCCGCCGGGCUCUACAGCUCCAGGGCCGAGGGCGGCUCCCGGACCCUCAUCCCGUGAUACGGGUGACGCUGUUAACGGGACUCGGCCUUCUUUUUCCUGAUUCUGGUCACAGCCUUCUCUCAGGCAUCCACCUGCUCCGGCGUGGGGCUCCUCCACGGGCUGCAGGUGACUUAAAAAUGACACAUCAUGCGACACAAGCAGGUGUCAGAGAAAUACCAGAAUAAAGGAGCUAUCUAUUGCUGUGCAAACUUUAGUCAAGCAGCAGUAGGAGAAGACAACAAGAGAAAACUGUGAAGUGUCCUGGGUGUGGCAGAAAGAAGAAUGCCAUUAAC